UACGUAGGGUGCAAGCGUUAAUCGGAAUUAUUGGGUUUAAAGGGUGCGUAGGCGGCCCGUUAAGUCAGUGGUGAAAGCCUCCAGCUCAACUGGAGAACUGCCAUUGAUACUGGCGGGCUUGAGUACAGACGAGGUAGGCGGAAUUGAUUGUGUAGCGGUGAAAUGCAUAGAUACAAUCAAGAACACCGAUUGCGUAGGCAGCUUACUAGGCUGUAACUGACGCUGAGGCACGAAAGCGUGGGGAGCGAACAGG
rnacentral:rRNA from 1 species